CGGGGGGGGCAAGCGUUGUUCGGAAUUACUGGGCGUAAAGGGCGCGUAGGCGGCCUGCUAAGUCGGACGUGAAAUCCCUCGGCUCAACCGGGGAACUGCGUCCGAUACUGGUGGGCUCGAAUCCGGGAGAGGGAUGUGGAAUUCCAGGUGUAGCGGUGAAAUGCGUAGAUAUCUGGAGGAACACCGGUGGCGAAGGCGGCAUCCUGGACCGGCAUUGACGCUGAGGCGCGAAAGCCGGGGGAGCAAACGGGAUUAGAUACCCCGGUAGUCCUGGCCCUAAACGAUGAGUGCUUGGUGUGGCGGGUAUCGAUCCCCUGCCGUGCCGAAGCUAACGCAUUAAGCACUCCGCCUGGGGAGUACGGUCGCAAGGCUG
rnacentral:rRNA from 1 species